ACGCUCGACACUACGGAGGCAGCAGUGGGGAAUAUUGCACAAUGGGGGAAACCCUGAUGCAGCGACGCCGCGUGAGCGAAGAAGUAUUUCGGUAUGUAAAGCUCUAUCAGCAGGGAAGAAACUGACGGUACCUGACUAAGAAGCACCGGCUAAAUACGUACCAGCAGCCGCGGUAAUCUGAGCGGGCUGGCAAGGC
rnacentral:rRNA from 1 species